GUACUCAGAGGCCUGUCUCUUAGCUGAUUGCCCAGUCAAGUUACAACCAAGACAGCCUACCCCAGCGAGCCGCUGUUAUGCUUUGAACACUUCACGCAUUCAGCUCCACCUUAUCUAUUUGCAUUGUGUAGUCCUCAUGGCAACCAUUUUUCCCAAAGAGCACCGAUUUCCUUUGACGGACAAUAGCAUUUUUUUUUUUUGGUUCUUUUUUUCGGAGCUGGGGACUGAACCCAGGGCCUUGCACUUCCUAGGCAAGCGCUCUACCACUGAGCUAAAUCCCCAACCCGACAAUAGCAUUUUUAAAAGUUAAGUGUAUGCAUGUAUCAGAUAUCACUGGUAUCCCAUUAAUGUAUACCGUUAUUCGAUUAUGUACUGAAAAAUAACUGUAGCCAGAGCACAGUGACACACCACACUAAUCCCAGCACUCCACAGGCAGAAGGAGGCAGCUCUCUCUGAGUAUAAGACCAGCCCAGUCUACGAUGCGAGUUCCAGGACACCGAGAGCUAUGUCUCAAAAAACAAAUAAAUAAAUGUAAAAAGAAGAAAAGAAA
rnacentral:lncRNA from 1 species